CAAGGCCGCCAUGUUCCCAUGACUUCACAGAGGGCUGUAACUUCCAUCUUGCUAGCAGACCCUGUCCCGGGGUAGCUUUGGUAAGACCAGCUGCUGUGUUGUGAGCUACUCCACGGAGAGACCACGUGACAAGAAACCGGGGGUUGGCACUGGACAGCUGCGGCCAGGAAACUGAAGCCCUCAGUCCAACAACCUUGCAAGGAAUGAAAUCUGGCCAACUGCUACAGGAGUUUGAAAGUGGAUCCUUCCCCAGUCGAGCUUCAGAGACCCCAGUCUCAGAUAUUUACCGAAACGUUCACGGAGUACCCACUGUACCCCAGGCACCGUCUUAAAUGCUGGAAAUACAAACGUAGACAAGAUGCACUUGCUUCCUGUGUAGGGCGGCCUCGGGGAGUUUCAAAAUAAAAAAAAAAAAAACAAUAA